rnacentral:rRNA from 1 species
UACGGGGGGUGCAAGCGUUGUCCGGAAUUAUUGGGCGUAAAGCGUUCGUAAGCGGUAAUGCAAGUCUGAUGUCAAAUCCCGAGGCUCAACUCCGGUCGGGCAUAGGAUACUGUAUAACUUGAAUGCGGCAGAGGUUAAGGGAAUUCCCGGUGUAGCGGUGAAAUGCGUAGAUAUCGGGAAGAACACCGGUGGCGUAAGCGCUUAACCGGGCCGUAAUUGACGCUGAGGAACGAAAGCCGGGGGAGCAAAC